ACUAGUGCGUGACGUCAUGUAGCAAGUUGUAAUGUGGUCCGGCUGCGACUAGGUGUUGUCAGUCUCUAUGCAAUAGCCAGUACGAAUGGACCUGACCCCUGCUAUUCUAUGAUGUAACUGGGCAUUUGUUCAGUAAAGCUUGGAUUGCCCAAG